AAUGAACGCUGGCGGCAUGCCUUACACAUGCAAGUCGAACGGCAGCAUGACCUAGCUUGCUAGGUUGAUGGCGAGUGGCGAACGGGUGAGUAAUGCAUCGGAACGUGCCUUUUAGUGGGGGAUAACGUAGCGAAAGUUACGCUAAUACCGCAUAUUCUCUGAGGAGGAAAGCAGGGGACCUUCGGGCCUUGCGCUAGAAGAGCGGCCGAUGUCGGAUUAGCUAGUUGGUGAGGUAAAGGCUCACCAAGGCAACGAUCCGUAGCGGGUCUGAGAGGAUGAUCCGCCACACUGGGACUGAGACACGGCCCAGACUCCUACGGGAGGCAGCAGUGGGGAAUUUUGGACAAUGGGCGCAAGCCUGAUCCAGCCAUGCCGCGUGAGUGAAGAAGGCCUUCGGGUUGUAAAGCUCUUUCGGCUGGGAAGAAAUCGCACCCUCUAAUACAGGGUGUGGAUGACGGUACCAGCAUAAGAAGCACCGGCUAACUACGU
rnacentral:rRNA from 1 species